CAUACAGACAGUACAUACAGACAAUAUCUAAUAACAACAGACAGUACAUACAGACAGUAUCUAAUAACCACAGACAUUACAUACAGACAGUAUCUAAUAACAACAGACAGUACAUACAGACAGUAUAUAAUAACCACAGACAUUACAUACAUACAGUAUCUAAUAACCACAGACAUUACAUACAGACAGUAUCUAAUAACC
rnacentral:lncRNA from 1 species